rnacentral:lncRNA from 1 species
UUUCCCACGACCUCGGCGCGACGCGCGCGGGAUCCAGUGGAGACUGCUUUCCCAUAGGCCGCCAUCCAGGGCGGGGAAGGGAGCGGACCCUCCCGGCUCCAGGUGCCUGGGCCCCCGGCGGCCUGCGGAGGCCUCGCCCCACGCCACCCGCCCACUGGCCUCGUCUUCGCGCGGGGAGAAAAGCAGCCUGAUUCGGAGGAACGGGUUGCUUGGGGCGGCUCCCAGCUCGAGUUGUGGGCCCCGCCGCGGGUGCCCUUCGGAAACGCGCUGACACCAGGCGAAGCCGCCUCUGCCCGGACGCAGCCCGACACUUGGCCCGCGGGGUUCCCCGGGACGCCUGAGAGUAAUGGGCGCGAGGGGGAAAGCCGAACGGCCUCCCUGUGCCCGGCGCAGGCGGUGCCCCCUAGCUGGGUUCGCCGCGGCGGCGCUGCGAGCCCCCGACACUGAGGACUUUUGGUCCAACAGUCCGACGGGGCCCGGUGCGCCGUUCCCUCCGCCCUCUCCCCGCUCCCCGGCCCGCGCGUCUUGGAGGGUGGGUGAAUUGUCGGAAGCACUCUACGCCUGGCCAACCCAAACCAGGAACCUCCGCACCAAACAGCCCACGUUGCUGCUGCUCUGGGGUUUUAACGGCCAAGGGAGACUGGAGAAGGGGUGUUCUGCCUUCCCAUUCUCUUAGGCCCGUCCACUCCCCAUCCCCACAGUUUGGAAGUGGCCUUUUCUGAGGACUCCAGCGCAAAGCAUGUUUCUCCUUUUGAGCUGCGGAAGCCUUGCUUGUUCCCGCCAUUGGGAGGGCAUUCCAUCAUCUGCAGCUGCCUUCCUCGGUGGGCCUUGUCCCUUAGCGUCCACCUAGGGGACAUUCUAAGCUUCUUGAGACCUGCUUGUCCACCCCAACAUGUCUCAGCAUAUGGCUGUGCCCUAAGGGGUCUUUGAGGGCAUUUUAGGAGGUGAGCGGCGCCCCUACCUGGGCUCCGCGGGGCCGAUUCGGUUUGCCCUUUGCUGGCAUGUCAGUGAAUUAACUGCUGUCCUUGGGAUGACCUGCCCUAUGAUUUGGCCUCUGGAGCAUCCCGGGUGUGUAUUUCAGAACUCCUCCCAUCUUAUCCACCUGCUGAAGGCCUGGCCCCCUGAUAUGGUUUGGCUCUGUUUCCCCACCCAAAUCUCACCUUGAAUUUUAAUAAUCCCCACGUGUCAUGGGCGGGACCAGGUGGAGGUAAUUGAAUCAUGGAGGUGGUUUCCUGAACGCUGCUCUCGUGACAGUGAGUUCACAAGAUUUUUUUUUUUAACGGAGUAUCACUCUGUCACUCAGGCUGGAGUGCAGUGGCGCGAUCUUGGUUCACUGCAACCUCUGCCUCCCGGGUUCAAGAGAUUCUCCUGCCUCAGCCUCCCGAGUAGCUGGGAUUACAGGUGCGCGCCAUCACGCCCGGCUAAUGUGUAUUUUUAGUAGAGAAAGGGUUUCACCAUGUUGGUUAGGCUGGUCUGGAACUCCUGACCUUGUGAUCUGCCUGCCUCGGCCUCCCAAAGUGCUGGGAUUACACGCGUGAGCCACUGUGCCCAGCCGAUCUGAUGCUUUUAUAAAGGGCUUUCCCCGUCCCCCUUCCUCUCUCUCACCACCCUGUGAGAAAGGUGCCUUUCUUCCCCCUUCACGUGAACUGCCUCCAUGAUUGUAAGCUUCCUGAGGCCUCCCCAGCUAUAAGGAACUGUGAGCCAAUUAAACUGCUUUAUAAAUUAA